CUACGUGCCAGCAGCCGCGGUAAUACGUAGGGAGCAAGCGUUGUCCGGAAUUACUGGGUGUAAAGGGAGCGUAGGCGGGCGAGAAAGUUGAAUGUUAAAUCUACCGGCUUAACUGGUAGCUGCGUUCAAAACUUCUUGUCUUGAGUGAAGUAGAGGCAGGCGGAAUUCCUAGUGUAGCGGUGAAAUGCGUAGAUAUUAGGAGGAACACCAGUGGCGAAGGCGGCCUGCUGGGCUUUAACUGACGCUGAGGCUCGAAAGCGUGGGGAGCAAACAGGAUUAGAUACCCUGGUAGUCCACGCUGUAAACGAUGAUUACUAGGUGUGGGGGGACUGACCCCUUCC
rnacentral:rRNA from 1 species